CCAGGGGGCAUUCCAGAUGAUUCGGCUUCACUUUUGGGAGCCGUGGUGUCAGAUAAACAGCUUCAGUCCCACGAUGAUGACGUCACAAGAACAGACCUUUGUGAUCGCUCUGAAACCACAGAAGCCUCGGGCAGCGUGGAGCAGUGAUAUUGAAGCUCGGAUCCUUUCCUCUGCUCCGCUGCCUCUGGUCUGAGCUCAACAUCAAUACAGCUGAUGUCACCACGAGAACAGAGAAGAAGCCUUUAUGUAAAGCAGCUCAUUGAACUGCAGCAUUUUUCCACGAUUACAACUUGAGCAGCGUCCUUGCCACAAAGUCACGGCGAUGGUCUCGACAGUCGACACCCAAAACAAACCCAACGGGACCCAUCAGGAUGGUGAAUGAAGAUGGACGACGUGUCUAACCACAGCUCGGCUUGGUGAUUUUCACAAAGCCUUCCACUGCUCUGCUGGUGCUGUGUCAAAUUUUUGUUUCCCCAACAAUUUGUGACCUGAUGGUGAACCACAGCUAAGCCUCACUUAUGCAGACUCUGCAGCCUCGGCUUCUCCAGUUAGUGUUAACAGCAGUUUGACAGCAUCAGACCUGGUUCCAGCUCGACAGGGACAAUGAAAACAAAUGAAAUCAGCGAAGUCGCCCUCCGGAAGAUGAACAGAGGGAGACAUUCAAAGAAACCGUGAUCUUUAACGAACUACUUAGUAUUAAUGGACACAACCUCGCCACCGGGCAGCCACAAGAAGAAAAGCUCCUCCCUGUGGUAUUGUUUGUCUGUUGUCCAGCCUCCAGCCUGCCCUGUCCGCUGCUCUCUCAACAAUCACAUUGACCGAGGGAUCGAUAGAAUCCUCCAGAGAGAAAAGACCAGACUGAAG